AUUGAACGCUGGCGGCGUGCUUAACACAUGCAAGUCGAUCGGUAACAGGUGUAGCAAUACAUGCUGACGAGAGGCGGACGGGUGAGGAAUAUUUGGGAAUCUGCCCAUCAGCGGGGGACAACCCGGGGAAACUCGGGCUAAUACCGCAUACGCUCUACGGAGGAAAGCCGGGGACCGCAAGGCCUGGCACUGAUGGAUGAGCCCAAAUCGGAUUAGCUAGUUGGCGGGGUAACGGCCCACCAAGGCGACGAUCCGUAGCUGGUCUGAGAGGACGAUCAGCCACACCGGAACUGCGACACGGUCCGGACUCCUACGGGAGGCAGCAGUGGGGAAGAUUGGAAAAUGGGGGAAACCCUGAUCCAGCGACGCCGCGUGGGUGAAGAAGGCCUGCGGGUUGUAAAGCCCUUUCGGUAGGGAAGAAAUCUCUUGCUCUAACAAAGCAAGGGUUUGACUUAACCUACAUAAGAAGCACCGGCUAACUCUGUGCCAGCCGCCGCGGUAAAAC
rnacentral:rRNA from 1 species